rnacentral:lncRNA from 1 species
CCGAACUACUGGAGCGCGCAUACAAGUAUAUGCGCGCGGACGAAGGAGCGUCCGACCGACGCUUGGCCGAGCCUAGAGGCCCGAAGGAGAAGCGGAGAAAAGGUCGGGAGCCCGCCGAACCAGGCAGGCCCCCGACCGAUGGUCGGCUUUCUCCACCCCGACGGAUCCAAAGGUCGCCCCGGCUACGGACUCUGAGGCCGGCGCGCUCCAGGUACGAUUCUUAUACUCCUCUCUCUGCUCCCCGUGCGCAGAUUUUGAUGGAGAU